GCUCUUCCGAUUUCAGGUAUUGAUCGACUUGCGACCUAUGCAACUUACGACCAUUCGACUUUACGACCACAAUCACUAGCCACGACUGCUCUGCGUCUGGCAGCGCAAACGUUGCCCAGCUGGGCAUACGACAGUGCUGACCAGCUUC